GUGAGGAAUUUUCCGCAAUGGGCGAAAGCCUGACGGAGCAAUGCCGCGUGAAGGAUGAAGGCCUAUGGGUUGUAAACUUCUUUUCUCAGAAAAGAAUUAUGACGGUAUCUGAUGAAUAAGCAUCGGCUAACUCUGUGCCAGCAGCCGCGGUAAGACAGAGGAUGCAAGCGUUAUCCGGAAUGAUUGGGCGUAAAGCGUCUGUAGGUUGUUUAAAAAGUAUUCUGUCAAAGAUUAGGGCUUAACCCUAGAUAGGCAGAAUAAACUUUUAAGCUAGAGUGUGGUAGAGGCAGAGGGAAUUCCCGGUGGAGCGGUGAAAUGCGUAGAUAUCGGGAGGAACACCAAAGGCGAAGGCACUCUGCUGGGCCAAUACUAACACUGAGAGACGAAAGCGAGGGGAGCAAAUGGGAUUAGAAACCCUUGUAGUCC
rnacentral:rRNA from 1 species